UACAGAGGGUGCGAGCGUUGUCCGGAAUCACUGGGCGUAAAGGGCGCGUAGGUGGCGCGACAAGUCAGUGGUGAAAGCUCGACGCUCAACGUCGAGUCGGCCACUGAUACUGUUGGGCUUGAGCACUGUAGAGGCUAAUGGAAUUCCGGGUGUAGCGGUGGAAUGCGUAGAGCUCCGGAAGAACACCGGUGGCGAAGGCGGUUAGCUGGGCAGUUGCUGACACUGAGGCGCGACAGCGUGGGGAGCAAACAGG
rnacentral:rRNA from 1 species